AUUGAACGCUGGCGGCAGGCCUAACACAUGCAAGUCGAGCGAGUGGCGGACGGGUGAGUAAUGUCUGGGAAACUGCCCGAUAGAGGGGGAUAACUACUGGAAACGGUAGCUAAUACCGCAUACUAUCGGAUGUACCCAGAUGGGAUUAGCUAGGAGGUGGGGUAACGGCUCACCUAGGCGACGAUCUCUAGCUGGGCUGAGAGGAUGAUCAGCCACACUGGAACUGAGACACGGCCCAGACUCCUACGGGAGGCAGCAGUGGGGAAUAUUGCACAAUGGGCGCAAGCCUGAUACAGCCAUGCCGCGUGUAUGAAGAAGGCCUUAGGGUUGUAAAGUACUUUCAGCGGGGAGGCGUUACCCGCAGAAGAAGCACCGGCUAACUCCGUGCCAGCAGCCGCGGUAAUUC
rnacentral:rRNA from 1 species